rnacentral:rRNA from 1 species
UACAGAGGGUGCGAGCGUUGUCCGGAAUCACUGGGCGUAAAGGGCGCGUAGGCGGCUUGGUAAGUAGGGGGUGAAAUCUUGCGGCUCAACUGCAAGGCUGCCUCCUAAACUGCCUGGCUGGAGCACGGUAGAGGCAGAUGGAAUUCCCGGUGUAGCGGUGGAAUGCGUAGAUAUCAAGAGGAACACCUGAGGUGAAGACGGGUUGCUGGGCCGACACUGACGCUGAUGCGCGAAAGCCAGGGGAGCAAACGGG